rnacentral:rRNA from 1 species
GGGUUGUGAGGUUAAGCGACUAAGCGUACACGGUGGAUGCCCUGGCAGUCAGAGGCGAUGAAGGGCGUGCUAAUCUGCGAUAAGCGCCGGUAAGGUGAUAUGAACCGUUAUAACCGGCGAUACCCGAAUGGGGAAACCCAGUGUGACUCGUCACACUAUCAUUAACUGAAUCCAUAGGUUAAUGAGGCGAACCGGGGGAACUGAAACAUCUAAGUACCCCGAGGAAAAGAAAUCAACCGAGAUUCCCCCAGUAGCGGCGAGCGAACGGGGAGGAGCCCAGAGCCUGAAUCAGCAUGUGUGUUAGUGGAAGCGUCUGGAAAGGCGCGCGAUACAGGGUGACAGCCCCGUACACAAAAGCGCAUGUGCUGUGAGCUCGAUGAGUAGGGCGGGACACGUGGUAUCCUGUCUGAAUAUGGGGGGACCAUCCUCCAAGGCUAAAUACUCCUGACUGACCGAUAGUGAACCAGUACCGUGAGGGAAAGGCGAAAAGAACCCCGGCGAGGGGAGUGAAAAAGAACCUGAAACCGUGUACGUACAAGCAGUGGGAGCACCCUUUGGGGUGUGACUGCGUACCUUUUGUAUAAUGGGUCAGCGACUUAUAUUCUGUAGCAAGGUUAACCGAAUAGGGGAGCCGGAGGGAAACCGAGUCUUAAUUGGGCGUUAAGUUGCAGGGUAUAGACCCGAAACCCGGUGAUCUAGCCAUGGGCAGGUUGAAGGUUGGGUAACACUAACUGGAGGACCGAACCGACUAAUGUUGAAAAAUUAGCGGAUGACCUGUGGCUGGGGGUGAAAGGCCAAUCAAACCGGGAGAUAGCUGGUUCUCCCCGAAAGCUAUUUAGGUAGCGCCUCGUGAAUUCAUCUCCGGGGGUAGAGCACUGUUUCGGCUAGGGGGCCAUCCCGGCUUACCAACCCGAUGCAAACUGCGAAUACCGGAGAAUGUUAUCACGGGAGACACACGGCGGGUGCUAACGUCCGUCGUGAAGAGGGAAACAACCCAGACCGCCAGCUAAGGUCCCAAAGUCAUGGUUAAGUGGGAAACGAUGUGGGAAGGCCCAGACAGCCAGGAUGUUGGCUUAGAAGCAGCCAUCAUUUAAAGAAAGCGUAAUAGCUCACUGGUCGAGUCGGCCUGCGCGGAAGAUGUAACGGGGCUAAACCAUGCACCGAAGCUGCGGCAGCGACGCUGAUGCGUUGUUGGGUAGGGGAGCGUUCUGUAAGCCUGCGAAGGUGGCCUGUGAGGGUUGCUGGAGGUAUCAGAAGUGCGAAUGCUGACAUAAGUAACGAUAAAGCGGGUGAAAAGCCCGCUCGCCGGAAGACCAAGGGUUCCUGUCCAACGUUAAUCGGGGCAGGGUGAGUCGACCCCUAAGGCGAGGCCGAAAGGCGUAGUCGAUGGGAAACGGGUUAAUAUUCCCGUACUUGGUGUUACUGCGAAGGGGGGACGGAGAAGGCUAUGUUGGCCGGGCGACGGUUGUCCCGGUUUAAGCGUGUAGGCUGGUUUUCCAGGCAAAUCCGGAAAAUCAAGGCUGAGGCGUGACGACGAGGCACUACGGUGCUGAAGCAACAAAUGCCCUGCUUCCAGGAAAAGCCUCUAAGCAUCAGGUAACAUCAAAUCGUACCCCAAACCGACACAGGUGGUCAGGUAGAGAAUACCAAGGCGCUUGAGAGAACUCGGGUGAAGGAACUAGGCAAAAUGGUGCCGUAACUUCGGGAGAAGGCACGCUGACACGUAGGUGAAGUGAUUUACUCACGGAGCUGAAGUCAGUCGAAGAUACCAGCUGGCUGCAACUGUUUAUUAAAAACACAGCACUGUGCAAACACGAAAGUGGACGUAUACGGUGUGACGCCUGCCCGGUGCCGGAAGGUUAAUUGAUGGGGUCAGCGCAAGCGAAGCUCCUGAUCGAAGCCCCGGUAAACGGCGGCCGUAACUAUAACGGUCCUAAGGUAGCGAAAUUCCUUGUCGGGUAAGUUCCGACCUGCACGAAUGGCGUAAUGAUGGCCAGGCUGUCUCCACCCGAGACUCAGUGAAAUUGAACUCGCUGUGAAGAUGCAGUGUACCCGCGGCAAGACGGAAAGACCCCGUGAACCUUUACUAUAGCUUGACACUGAACAUUGAGCCUUGAUGUGUAGGAUAGGUGGGAGGCUUUGAAGCGUGGACGCCAGUCUGCGUGGAGCCAACCUUGAAAUACCACCCUUUAAUGUUUGAUGUUCUAACGUGGACCCGUAAUCCGGGUUGCGGACAGUGUCUGGUGGGUAGUUUGACUGGGGCGGUCUCCUCCUAAAGAGUAACGGAGGAGCACGAAGGUUGGCUAAUCCUGGUCGGACAUCAGGAGGUUAGUGCAAUGGCAUAAGCCAGCUUGACUGCGAGCGUGACGGCGCGAGCAGGUGCGAAAGCAGGUCAUAGUGAUCCGGUGGUUCUGAAUGGAAGGGCCAUCGCUCAACGGAUAAAAGGUACUCCGGGGAUAACAGGCUGAUACCGCCCAAGAGUUCAUAUCGACGGCGGUGUUUGGCACCUCGAUGUCGGCUCAUCACAUCCUGGGGCUGAAGUAGGUCCCAAGGGUAUGGCUGUUCGCCAUUUAAAGUGGUACGCGAGCUGGGUUUAGAACGUCGUGAGACAGUUCGGUCCCUAUCUGCCGUGGGCGCUGGAGAACUGAGGGGGGCUGCUCCUAGUACGAGAGGACCGGAGUGGACGCAUCACUGGUGUUCGGGUUGUCAUGCCAAUGGCACUGCCCGGUAGCUAAAUGCGGAAGAGAUAAGUGCUGAAAGCAUCUAAGCACGAAACUUGCCCCGAGAUGAGUUCUCCCUGAGACUUAGAGUCUCCUGAAGGAACGUUGAAGACGACGACGUUGAUAGGCCGGGUGUGUAAGCGCAGCGAUGCGUUGAGCUAACCGGUACUAAUGAACCGUGAGGCUUAACCUUACAACGCCGAAG